rnacentral:rRNA from 1 species
GGGGAAUAUUGCACAAUGGGGGAAACCCUGAUGCAGCGACGCCGCGUGAAGGAAGAAGUAUCUCGGUAUGUAAACUUCUAUCAGCAGGGAAGAUAGUGACGGUACCUGACUAAGAAGCCCCGGCUAACUACGUGCCAGCAGCCGCGGUAAUACGUAGGGGGCAAGCGUUAUCCGGAUUUACUGGGUGUAAAGGGAGCGUAGACGGUGUGGCAAGUCUGAUGUGAAAGGCAUGGGCUCAACCUGUGGACUGCAUUGGAAACUGUCAUACUUGAGUGCCGGAGGGGUAAGCGGAAUUCCUAGUGUAGCGGUGAAAUGCGUAGAUAUUAGGAGGAACACCAGUGGCGAAGGCGGCUUACUGGACGGUAACUGACGUUGAGGCUCGAAAGCGUGGGGAGCAAAC